AUGAAACUGUUGUCACCAGACCACAAAAAGUACAUCAUAUCGGAAACCAGUCUUGGCGGUCUAACCCAGAUGCAUGAAGUGACUCUACGGCGCAUAAUGUUGGUUAGACUAGCCAAGAGCAUAGAUAUGGACACCCAAUCCAUUACCAUCGGAAAAACGCCAAUUCCUAUAACAAAAGAGGACGUGCAGUGUAUAUUUGGCAUUCCGAUAGAAGGGGAUGAUAUAGAGCCACAUCUGGAAAUGCAAACCGACACAGAAUUGUUUACCGCCUAUGCAAACAAUGGGCAAAUUUUGAUUUCCGACCUUGAAACGGCGAUCCGAGCUUCCAAAGCCCCAGACGGCGAUUUCCUGAGACGGUUCAUUCUGUACGCAAUUGGUACUAUUCUAGCACCAACAACACAACAUUAUGUGGACUCGAAAUUUCUCAACCUUGUUACAGAUCUUCAAAACCUUCGGAAAUUUAACUGGGGAUGUUUCACACUUAAUCACUUCUUCAAGUCCGUUCACAAGUUUAGAAAUCGAGAUCACGUAAAUCUACAAGGAAAUCUAAUUCUGCUCCAGUAUUGGUACUGGGAGCACGUGUGUAGUGGCCGAUUGAUGUAUGCUUCUAGACCACCUCCAUUGAUCGCACGA
rnacentral:rRNA from 1 species